rnacentral:tRNA from 1 species
GGGUGGAUGGCUCAGUGGUUAGAGCCUACGGCUUGGGAGCAAAAGGUCCCGGGGUUCAAAUCUCGCAAGAGGCA